rnacentral:rRNA from 1 species
AGUCGUGGGGCAGCAUGACUGUAGCAAUACAGUUGAUGGCGACCGGCAAACGGGUGCGGAACACGUACACAACCUUCCUUUUAGUGGAGAAUAGCCCAGGGAAACUUGGAUUAAUACUCCGUAACAUAUAGAAGUGGCAUCACUUUUAUAUUAAAGCAGCAAUGCGCUAGAAGAUGGGUGUGCGGCUGAUUAGAUAGUUGGCGGGGUAACGGCCCACCAAGUCGACGAUCAGUAACUGGUGUGAGAGCACGACCAGUCACACGGGCACUGAGACACGGCCCGACUCCUACGGGAGGCAGCAGUAAGGAAUAUUGGUCAAUGGACGCAAGUCUGAACCAGCCAUGCCGCGUGGAGGAUGAAGGUCCUCUGGAUUGUAAACUUCUUUUAUCUGGGAAGAAAUCCAUUUUUUCUAAAAUGGUUGACGGUACCAGAUGAAUAAGCACCGGCUAACUCCGUGCCAGCAGCCGCGGUAAUACGGAGGGUGCAAGCGUUAUCCGGAUUCACUGGGUUUAAAGGGUGCGUAGGUGGGCGAGUAAGUCAGUGGUGAAAUCUCCGGGCUUAACCCGGAAACUGCCAUUGAUACUAUUUGUCUUGAAUACUGUGGAGGUCAGCGGAAUAUGUCAUGUAGCGGUGAAAUGCUUAGAUAUGACAUAGAACACCAAUUGCGAAGGCAGCUGGCUACACAAAUAUUGACACUGAGGCACGAAAGCGUGGGGAUCAAACAGGAUUAGAUACCCUGGUAGUCCACGCCCUAAACUAUGGAUACUCGACAUUUGCGA